CUUGAUUGCUCUUUUUAAGCCAGUCGUGUUGUGCACCAACUUGUCAAAUCCGGGUUCUGUCUCCAUUCUGUUAUAAGCCCGUCCACUCUGUAAUCUUGAGUUUCUUUGGAAACUCUCUGGAAGUGAUCUCAAUACAAUAGGGAGAUCGUUAUCUUUUACAUAGUUAGGGGAUGCUUGAUAUACAUAAACACGAGUCCCAGUGCUGCCACAAUCAAGCACAACAUAAUACUUCGAGUCUCUACCGAAUAAGUUAAAAUGAAAAAACAUCACAUACAGGAGAAAUGCAACCAAUAGCAAGCACAGGAGAACAAAGAUAACUCGUGUCCAUUUUGUUCGUGCAGAAGUGACUGUCGGUGUUCCCUUCACCUUGGAGAAGCUUGUACCCAAGUUUUCUCUCUUGAAAAGAUUUAGCCGUUUUAAAUUAGUUGAAUCCCUCUCUAUUUCAGGGUUAGG
rnacentral:misc_RNA from 1 species